rnacentral:rRNA from 1 species
GACGGAGGAUGCAAGCGUUAUCCGGAAUGAUUGGGCGUAAAGCGUCCGCAGGUGGCAGUUCAAGUCUGCUGUCAAAGACCGGGGCUUAACUUCGGAAAGGCAGUGGAAACUGAACAGCUAGAGUAUGGUAGGGGCAGAGGGAAUUCCUGGUGUAGCGGUGAAAUGCGUAGAGAUCAGGAAGAACACCAAUGGCGAAGGCAGCUCUCUGGGACGGUACUGACACUGAGACGCGAAAGCGUGGGGAGCGAACAGG